UCUUCCGCCUAAAUUUUUUCUUGCGUAGUAUUGAUGUUUCAAAAUAUGUCGCUUAGAUAUUUAGAAUAUGAUGUCUUAUAGUUUAUACGCUUUAAAAAUUUACAACUGCAUAACAAAAUACUUUACGUUGUAAGAGUUAUCUCCCAAAACACUGUUUUUCUUGUGGCCACUACUCCUUCGCAACCGUAAAAGAUUACGACAAAUUUAUUUUACCAAAUUGCUCGUUACUUCUUCAGGAUCAGGAUAUUUAUUUGGACCGAAGCUAUCCGGAGACUCCAUAUGAGAGUUAUUUCCCCUUAUGCAUUUGAUAUUAGUGAUAUGCGUUUCUAACUGGUAAACCAUCAGUGAUAUGGGCC
rnacentral:lncRNA from 1 species